rfam:Myotis brandtii contig214470, whole genome shotgun sequence.
GGCAGUUCUCCGGUGACGCACCCCAGAAUAUCGGGCUCCCUCCUCUCUGGUUUGCAUCACCCGAGAACUGCA